GAGAGAGGAAGGGAAGGAGUGAGAGGGAAAUGGAGAUAGAGACAGAGACAGGCAGACAGACAGACAGACAGAAAACACACACGUGUUCACACGUCCACGUGCGUACAUCCAUGUGCAUGUGUGAUUUCCCUUCUGUGAAUCCAACGUAAACCCUUAGGCAGCUCUUGCCGAGCAACACUUCACAAUGACUCCUUACCUACCACCCCAGCCAGCAGCUGCCCCUGUCCACUACAGAAUCAAGAAUGGCAUUUCCUGUGCAUGGGUUUCUCUGUGAACGCCCAUGUUGAAACGACUGACAAAUCUUUCAAUGAAAAGAUCACUUGCAGGAGCAGAGGCAACGGACCAAGGAAAUACAACUGCAGAAGGGAAGGGCCUCAAGUCGGUCAAGAGCAGACUCUGAAACACACAUGCAUCUUUACACAUCAGUGCCUCCUGAGGUCCGUGUGAGGGAAUGAACCGGAGAAGCUGAAGUAGAGGUGGGAGAAAGGACACCCAGGUUUCAAAACUUAAAGCCUUUGUUCAGGUCAUGUUCAUCUACCUUGAGAAUAUCUGCUGCGGAGGCAUCAAAAGUCCUCACAUCUACUGUGCCGGUGAAGGCGCCAGGAGGCCGAGGUCCCUCACGUCAGACACAGGCACGCACUCUCAGAGCUGCACACUGGUUGUUAGUCUAUACUACAAUGCUAGCUGGCUGCCUCCCUCUCUCGUUCGCGCUUCUAUCUGUGAAGGCCAUUUACACGAAGAAGGGCAUCUCAGCUCUGUAUGAACAAAAUCUGUGUGUUUGGGGUAUGGCAAGAAGGAAACUUGUUUCAGACUUGAUAUUCUUAGGGGCUUAUCAAAAUCCUAAGAGAAGGGGUGUAUGUGUGUGUCCACGCUAAAAAUGAAAGGUUAGAAUAGAAGUCAACUCGGAUGAGCAGAUAUCUCUGCAGUAAGAUGGCCUCUUUCUGGGUGUAUGUACAGAAGUGGUAGAGCAAGAUCUUGAGACUCCUGAAAGACUCCCCAUGCCUCCAGCAGUGCAUGGGUGUCCCCAUUCCUGCACCCUCCCUAGCAAUGCUGCCAUGUGUUUUGUUAAUCUCUGCCAUUUUGACUAAAGUAAGGUGACGCCUCAGAGAACUUUAAAUUGCACUUCCCUGAUGACUAAGGUUGUUGAACAUUUUCUUAAAGUGUUUCUCGGCCAUUUUCGUUUCACCUUUUGAGAACUCACUCAUUGGGUUAUUUUCUUGAUGUUCAGGUUUUUAAAAUGCUUUCUAUAUUCUAGAGCAGUGGCUCUCAACCUCCCUAAAGCUGCAACCCUUCAAUACAGUUCAUGUUGUGAUGACCUCUCACCAUAAAGUUAUUUUGUUGCUACCUCGUAACUAUGAUUUUGCUACCAUUAUGAAUUCCAAUGUAAAUAUCUGAUAAGCAGGAUAUCUGCUAUGUAACCCCCUAAGGGAUCAUGGUCCACAGGUUGAGAACUGCUGUUCUAGCUAGUAACCCUCUCUACUUGGUGAAGAUUGGCUAUCAGCUGCUUUGCAUGAAUGAUGGUGUCGUUUUUUGUACAAAGCUUUUCAACUUUAUGAAAUUCCAUUUAUUAAUUGUUUAUCUUACUGAGGAUGCUACCAGCUCUUGAAGUCUUUCUCUCUGCUAAUGGGUGCUAUGCUUAGUGUAUAGCUCGGCCUUCACCCCAGGAGCUUCCUGCAGUAGACAGUAAUUAACAGCGAUCCAGAGCUGGACAGGAGCACUCAAUCCUACACGAGAUAUCUGUUAUCAAACUCUCCCAGCAAGGCUCAGGGUCUGUGAAGAAGAAUCAGAAAUACCAUAAGGGCCACAGGUGGGAAGUAACUCCAAGGAAACGGUGUCUUCCAAGCACGGCAAGGCUGCUGCACAUAUGAAUUCAGAGACCAUGAAUGCUUGUGUAGUAGCUCACAAGUUCAAGCCAGACAAAAUCCCAACACAGGAAAGGAGAAGUGGGCACAAACGCCUGGCCAAGAAGCGAUCUGUAAUCGAUACCUCCUGGGAGAGGGAAAAUCAGUUUUCUCCAAUGGGAUAACACUGUGCAUACCAACUCCACUCUAAGGCAGGCCGCCUCACACUCUGGAGUAGUCGGCUAACUCAAAAGACUCCAUGGUUUUUGUUGUUGUUGUUGUUAUUGUUUUGUGUUUUCUAUGUUGUUUUGUUUUCUUGUUUCUUUUUACUUUUUGAGAGAGAAAGACAUGAGGUUGGGUGAGUAAGGAGUGUGGGGAGGACCUGGGAGGAGUUUGGGGAGGACAGAGAAUAUGAUAAAAAUAUAUUGUAUGAGAAAAUUUAAAAGUAAUUAAAAAACUAAGAUACAA
ensembl:lincRNA Gm15907 predicted gene 15907